UCUGGGAAUCGUAGUUUCUGUAAUGCCGUCCACCCGAGUUGGGGGUGGGUGGGAAGCAGUAAGGCGGAAAACCAUAAAUUUGCAUUAACGAAAAGGCUGACUAUGUGACGUUGGGUCUCGGGGCAAUAUUUUUUCCUCAAUCAUAGCGAGGAAUACAGCGAGAGAAACAUAACUGAAGCUAUAUCACCUGUGAACUCCUCACCUCCACCUCUCCAGGAAAAACAACAAUGAGGAAUGGAAUGCCUGACUGCCCAACUCUACUCACCUCAAGUAAGGAGUAUUUACAAAAGGUACUUG